ACCUGUGUCUACAUUCACAUUUCGGGCUAGUGAAUUAUUUUGUGGGCUAGAAACUUUCCGGCAUAGCUAACCCGACUGGCAAGCAAAUUUUGGAAACUAUUUCGCACACUGAGUGAACCUUUGUGUUGG